rnacentral:rRNA from 1 species
ACGGGUGAGGUAACGCGUAAUCAACCUGCCCUUCAGAGGGGGACAACAGUUGGAAACGACUGCUAAUACCGCAUACGAUCUAAUCUUGGCAUCGAGGAUGGAUGAAAGGUGGCCUCUACAUGUAAGCUAUCACUGAAGGAGGGGAUUGCGUCUGAUUAGCUAGUUGGAGGGGUAACGGCCCACCAAGGCGAUGAUCAGUAGCCGGUCUGAGAGGAUGAACGGCCACAUUGGGACUGAGACACGGCCCAGACUCCUACGGGAGGCAGCAGUGGGGAAUCUUCCGCAAUGGACGAAAGUCUGACGGAGCAACGCCGCGUGAGUGAUGACGGCCUUCGGGUUGUAAAGCUCUGUUAAUCGGGACGAAAGGCC